rnacentral:rRNA from 1 species
CAGUCGCCGCGGUAAUACGGAGGGGGCUAGCGUUGUUCGGAAUUACUGGGCGUAAAGCGCACGUAGGCGGCUAUUCAAGUCAGGGGUGAAAGCCCGGGGCUCAACCUCGGAACUGCCUUUGAAACUAGAUAGCUAGAAUCUUGGAGAGGCGAGUGGAAUUCCGAGUGUAGAGGUGAAAUUCGUAGAUAUUCGGAAGAACACCAGUGGCGAAGGCGACUCGCUGGACAAGUAUUGACGCUGAGGUGCGAAAGCGUGGGGAGCAAACAGGAUUAGAUACCCCGGUAGUCCCUGUCUCUUAUAC